UACGUAGGGUGCAAGCGUUAAUCGGAAUUACUGGGCGUAAAGCGUGCGCAGGCGGUUCGGAAAGAAAGAUGUGAAAUCCCAGAGCUUGACUUUGGAAUGGCAUUUUUAACUACCGGGCUAGAGUAUGUCAGAGGGGGGUAGAAUUCCACGUGUAGCAGUGAAAUGCGUAGAGAUGUGGAGGAAUACCGAUGGCGAAGGCAGCCCCCUGGGAUAAUACUGACGCUCAUGCACGAAAGCGUGGGGAGCAAACAGGAUUAGAUACCCUGGUAGUCCACGCCCUAAACGAUGUCAACUAGCUGUUGGGGCCUUCGGGCCUUAGUAGCGCAGCUAACGCGUGAAGUUGACCGCCUGGGGAGUACGGUCGCAAGAUUAAA
rnacentral:rRNA from 1 species